rnacentral:rRNA from 1 species
AGUGAACGCUGGCGGUAGGCCUAACACAUGCAAGUCGAACGGCAGCACAGUAAGAGCUUGCUCUUACGGGUGGCGAGUGGCGGACGGGUGAGGAAUACAUCGGCAUCUACUUUUUCGUGGGGGAUAACGUAGGGAAACUUACGCUAAUACCGCAUACGACCUACGGGUGAAAGCAGGGGAUCUUCGGACCUUGCGCGACUGAAUGAGCCGAUGUCGGAUUAGCUAGUUGGCGGGGUAAAGGCCCACCAAGGCGACGAUCCGUAGCUGGUCUGAGAGGAUGAUCAGCCACACUGGAACUGAGACACGGUCCAGACUCCUACGGGAGGCAGCAGUGGGGAAUAUUGGACAAUGGGCGCAAGCCUGACCCAGCCAUACCGCGUGGGUGAAGAAGGCCUUCGGGUUGUAAAGCCCUUUUGUUGGGAAAGAAAAGCAGCAGGUUAAUACCCCGCUGUUCUGACGGUACCCAAAGAAUAAGCACCGGCUAACUUCGUG